rfam:Mesocricetus auratus contig081105, whole genome shotgun sequence.
CUCACUUCUUGGCCUUUGGACUAAGACCAAGUGUAGUAUCUGUUCUUAACAGUUUAAAAACAGAAUCUUACACUUUGCAUGUUUCUCUGAAACCUGCCUCCCAGCACUUAAAGAAUAUUCUGUGUUCUUUUAUACUGAUAUAGCCUUUCAGAGAGCUACAGAGUUCUUUACACUAUGGUGUCACCUAACUUAAUCAUU